AGAGCGAACGCUGGCGGCAGGCCUAACACAUGCAAGUCGAACGAUCCUUCGGGAUAGUGGCGGACGGGUGAGUAACACGUGGGAACGUACCUUUAGGUUCGGAAUAACUCAGGGAAACUUGAGCUAAUACCGAAUGUGCCCUUCGGGGGAAAGAUUUAUCGCCUUUAGAGCGGCCCGCGUUAGAUUAGCUAGUUGGUGAGGUAAAGGCUCACCAAGGCUACGAUCUAUAGCUGGUCUGAGAGGAUGAUCAGCCACAUUGGGACUGAGACACGGCCCAAACUCCUACGGGAGGCAGCAGUGGGGAAUCUUGCGCAAUGGGCGAAAGCCUGACGCAGCCAUGCCGCGUGAAUGAUGAAGGUCUUAGGAUUGUAAAAUUCUUUUAGCAGGGACGAUAAUGACGGUACCUGCAGAAAACGCCCCGGACUAACUUCGCGCCAGCAGCCGC
rnacentral:rRNA from 1 species